AAUCGUACAGGGUCAUCCACU
rnacentral:ncRNA from 3 species